AACCAUUCUCACCUGCGGCUAGACCUGCGGAGGGAUCAUUAACAAAUUGUCCACCACAAAUGGAUAAUUUUAUCCUUAUCCACCUUGUGUGAAUCAUUGACGUGUUUGUUGGCAGGUUACGGCUGUUCCCAUUGGAGAGCCCCGGAGGGUUUAUUGAUAGCUCGGCCUGCCAAUUUUAUUAUGUUUUAACUUGUCUAAAUAUUACUGGUCUGAAAUACAUUUAUUGAUAAUAAAUACAAC
rnacentral:misc_RNA from 1 species